AAACCGACACAGGUGGGCAGGAAGAAAAUUCUAAGGUGCUUGAGAGAACUCAGGAGAAGGAACUCGGCAAAUUGAUACCGUAACUUCGGGAGAAGGUAUGCCUCAUUAGCUUGAAGAGCGUCGCGCUUGGAGGGCGAAGAGGCCGCAGAGAAUAGGUGGCUGCGACUGUUUAUCAAAAACACAGCACUGUGCCAACACGAAAGUGGUCGUAUACGGUGUGACGCCUGCCCGGUGCCGGAAGGUUAAGUGAAGGGGUGCAAGCUCUAGAUCGAAGCCCCGGUAAACGGCGGCCGUAACAAUAACGGUCCUAAGGUAGCGAAAUUCCUUGUCGGGUAAGUUCCGACCCGCACGAAUGGCGUAACGAUGGCCACACUGUCUCCUCCUGAGACUCAGCGAAGUUGAAAUGGUUGUGAAGAUGCAAUCUACCCGCUGCUAGACGGAAAGACCCCGUGAACCUUUACUGUAGCUUUGCAUGGGACUUUGAACAGACUUGUGUAGGAUAGGUGGGAGGCAAAGAAGGCGGAACGCGAGUUCUGUUGGAGCCGCCCUUGAAAUACCACCCUGGUGUGUUUGAGGUUCUAACCUAGGUCCGUGAACCGGAUUGGGGACAGUGCAUGGUAGGCAGUUUGACUGGGGCGGUCUCCUCCCAAAGCGUAACGGAGGAGUUCGAAGGUCACCUAGGCACGGUCGGAAAUCGUGCUGAUAGUGCAAUGGCAAAAGGUGGCUUAACUGCGAGAGGGACAACUCGAGCAGGUGCGAAAGCAGGACAUAGUGAUCCGGUGGUUCUGAAUGGAAGGGCCAUCGCUCAACGGAUAAAAGGUACUCCGGGGAUAACAGGCUGAUUCCGCCCAAGAGUUCAUAUCGACGGCGGAGUUUGGCACCUCGAUGUCGGCUCAUCACAUCCUGGGGCUGUAGCCGGUCCCAAGGGUAUGGCUGUUCGCCAUUUAAAGUGGUACGCGAGCUGGGUUCAAAACGUCGUGAGACAGUUUGGUCCCUAUCUGCAGUGGGCGUUGGAAGUUUGACGGGGGCUGCCCCUAGUACGAGAGGACCGGAGUGGACGAACCUCUGGUGUACCGGUUGUCACGCCAGUGGCAUCGCCGGGUAGCUAAGUUCGGAAGAGAUAACCGCUGAAAGCAUCUAAGCGGGAAACUCGCCUGAAGAUGAGACUUCCCUGGAACGUCAGUUCCCUAAAGAGUCGUUCGAGACCAGGACGUUGAUAGGUCGGGUGUGAAAGCGCCAAGAGGCGUGUAGCUAACCGAUACUAAUGGCUCGUGAGGCUUGAUCCU
rnacentral:rRNA from 1 species